CUACGGAGGGUGCAAGCGUUGUUCGGAUUUAUUGGGCGUAAAGCGAGUGUAGGCGGUUUGACAAGUCGAAUGUGAAAUCCCGAGGCCCAACCUCGGAACUGCAUCCGAAACUGUCAGGCUAGAGUCCCGGAGAGGAUGGCGGAAUUCCCGGUGUAGGGGUGAAAUCCGUAGAUAUCGGGAGGAACACCAGUGGCGAAGGCGGCCAUCUGGACGGUGCCUGACGCUGAGACUCGAAAGUGUGGGUAGCAAACAGGAUUAGAAACCCUUGUAGUCC
rnacentral:rRNA from 1 species